rnacentral:rRNA from 1 species
UAUGUGAUCGUCUCUCGCAUAUCAAUAAGCGGAGGAAAAGAAACUAACAAGGAUUCCCCUAGUAACGGCGAGUGAAGCGGGAAGAGCUCAAAUUUGAAAUCUUAAAGGGUUUCCCUUUACGAAUUGUAGUUUAAAGAAGUGUUUUCUGUUGAGGUUUUGGUAAAAGUUCUUUGGAAUAGGACAUCAUAGAGGGUGAGAAUCCCGUAUUUGACCUUUACUUUCAACUUUGUGAUACACUUUCAAAGAGUCGGAUUGUUUGGGAAUGCAGUCCAAAAUGGGUGGUAAAUUUCAUCUAAAGCUAAAUAUUGGCGAGAGACCGAUAGCGAACAAGUACCGUGAGGGAAAGAUGAAAAGAACUUUGAAAAGAGAGUUAAACAGUACGUGAAAUUGUCAAAAGGGAAGCGUUUGACACCAGUGUUGUUUUUCUGAAAAUCAAUUAAAGAACUGUUUAUGCUAAGUUGUUUAGACUUUAUCAGCUAUCUGUUUAGUUUUGAGCUUUUCUUUAAUGCACUUUUCAGUUAACAAGUCAACAUCAAUUUCUUUUGCUGUAAAAGAGCUUGAGGAAGGUGGCUUGAGAUUCGUCUUAAGUGUUUAUAGCCUCUUGCCUAUGCAGUCGGAGAGAUUGAGGUCUGCAGCGUAGAUCCUUCGGGGCUAAAUGCAUUUGUGCUAAGUUAUAGCAUUUUAUAGACAACUUGUUGACUAUGAUUUGUCUUGUAGCUUACUCGCUUAUGUUAUUUUACCUACGCUUAGGAUGUUGAUCUACAGAGCGAGAGU